GAGUUUGAUCAUGGUUCAGGAUGAACGCUGGCGGCAUGCCUAACACAUGCAAGUCGAACGAAGUUACCGGAGCAGCGGACUUAGGUUCAACGCACCGACUAACUUAGUGGCGGAUGGGUGAGUAACACGUGAGCAACCAACCUUUUACUCGGGAAUAACAUGGGGAAACCCAUGCUAAUACCUGAUAUUAUCAAGAAAUGGCAUCAUAAUUUGAUGAAAGAUUUAUCGGUAAAAGACGGGCUCGCGUCCGAUUAGCUAGUUGGUAAGGUAAUGGCUUACCAAGGCCACGAUCGGUAGCCGGACUGAGAGGUCGACCGGCCACAUUGGGACUGAGAACGGCCCAGACUCCUACGGGAGGCAGCAGUGGGGAAUAUUGGGCAAUGGACGCAAGUCUGACCCAGCGAUGCCGCGUGAAGGAUGGAAGGCCCUCGGGUUGUAAACUUCUUUAGACAGGGAAGAAAGAAAUGACAUUACCUGUAGAAUAAGCCACGGCUAACUACGUGCCAGCAGCCGCGGUAAUACGUAGGUGGCGAGCGUUAUCCGGAAUUACUGGGUGUAAAGGGCGCGUAGGCGGGUAUGCAAGUUGGAUGUGAAAUUCCGGGGCUUAACUCCGGAUUGUCAUCUAAAACUGUGUAUCUUGAGUGUCAGAGGGGAAAGUGGAAUUCCUAGUGGAGUGGUAAAAUGCGUAGAUAUUAGGAGGAACAUCGGUGGCGAAGGCGACUUUCUGGCUGACAACUGACGCUGAGGCGCGAAAGCGUGGGUAGCGAA
rnacentral:rRNA from 1 species